UGAUGAAGGCCUUCGGGUUGUAAAGCUCUUUCGCCCACGACGAUGGUGACGGUAGUGGGAGAAGAAGCCCCGGCUAACUUCGUGC
rnacentral:rRNA from 1 species